UACAGAGGGUGCGAGCGUUGUUCGGAAUCAUUGGGCGUAAAGCGCUUGUAGGCGGCCUGUCAAGUCGCGUGUGAAAUCCCUUGGCUUAACCAAGGAAGUGCGCGCGAAACUGGCGGGCUUGAGUGCCGGAGAGGGUCGCGGAAUUCCCGGUGUAGAGGUGAAAUUCGUAGAUAUCGAGAGGAACAUCGGUGGCGAAGGCGGCCUUCUGGACGAUGACUGACGCUGAGACGCGAAAGCGUGGGGAGCAAACAGG
rnacentral:rRNA from 1 species